rnacentral:rRNA from 1 species
CGGUGGAGCAUGUGGUUUAAUUCGACGCAACGCGAAGAACCUUACCUAGGCUUGACAUACACGGGAAAGCUGCCAGAAACGUGCCCUCCGGACAGGUGUGACGAGCGCAGCCCCCGUUUCUAGUUGCCAGCGGGAUGUCAAGUAUCAUGGUCCUUACGUCUAGGCUACAUACAUGAUCGGUACAAGGGUUGCCAACUCGCGAGAGUGCGCCUCCCAGAAAGCCGAUCUCAGUGCGGAUUGGAGUGCAACUCGCCUCCAUGAAGCUGGAAUCCCUAGUAAUCGGGAUCAGCUACGCCACGGUGAAUACGUUCCCGGGCCUUGUACACACCGCCGUCACGCCAUGGAAGCUGUGAGCGCCCGAAGUCCGUGUCGCAACCCGGGCAACUGGGGCCAAGCC